GGGCGGAUGGUUUAGUGGUAUAAUACUCCCUUAGCAUGGUGCCUGGGAGUGGUCCGGGGUUCGAUUCCCCGUCUGUCCA
rnacentral:tRNA from 1 species